rnacentral:rRNA from 1 species
CCACGGGUGGCUGCAGUGAGGAAUACUGGUCAAUGGGCGGAAGCCUGAACCAGCCAAGUCGCGUGAGGGAUUAAGGCCCUGCGGGUCGUAAACCUCUUUUGCCGGGGAGCAGUGGUCCGGACGCGUCCGGACCGGGAGAGUACCCGGAGAAAAAGCAUCGGCUAACUCCGUUCCAGCAGCCGCGGUAAUACGGAGGAUGCGAGCGUUAUCCGGAUUUAUUGGGUUUAAGGGGUGCGUAGGCGGGCAUUUAAGCCGGCGGUCAAAUGUCGGGGCUCAACCCCGGCCUGCCGUCGGAACUGGGUGCCUUGAGUGAGUGAGAGGUAUGCGGAAUGCGUGGUGUAGCGGUGAAAUGCAUAGAUAUCACGCAGAACUCCGAUUGCGAAGGCAGCAUACCGGCGCUCAACUGACGCUCAUGCACGAAAGUGUGGGUAUCGAACAGGAUUAGAUACCCCUGUAGUC